rnacentral:rRNA from 1 species
CUUACCUGGUCUUGACAUCCAGAGAAUCCUGCAGAGAUGCGGGAGUGCCUUCGGGAACUCUGAGACAGGUGCUGCAUGGCUGUCGUCAGCUCGUGUUGUGAAAUGUUGGGUUAAGUCCCGCAACGAGCGCAACCCUUAUCCUUUGUUGCCAGCGCGUAAUGGCGGGAACUCAAAGGAGACUGCCGGUGAUAAACCGGAGGAAGGUGGGGAUGACGUCAAGUCAUCAUGGCCCUUACGACCAGGGCUACACACGUGCUACAAUGGCAUAUACAAAGAGAAGCGACCUCGCGAGAGCAAGCGGACCUCAUAAAGUUUGUCGUAGUCCGGAUUGGAGUCUGCAACUCGACUCCAUGAAGUCGGAAUCGCUAGUAA